GUCUUUUUGUUAAUAAUUUAAAGUCUAAUCUGCCCACUGAUAUAUUUAUUAAAGGGCUGCAGUAUUUUGACUGUACAAAGGUAGCAUAAUCAUUAGUCUUUUAAUUGGUGACUUGUAUGAAAGAUUGGAUGAAAUAUAAACUGUCUCUUUUAUAAAAAAAAAAUUGAAUUUAAUUUUUUAAUUAAAAAGUUAAAAUUAUUUAAAAAGACGAGAAGACCCUAUAGAGUUUUAUAAUUUAUUUUGUAAAUAUUUUUAUUUUUAUAUUUUUAUAAUUUUAAAUUAUUUUGUUGGGGUGAUAAAAAAAUUUAAUUAACUUUUUUUAAUAGUUUACAUUAAUAAGUGAUUAAAUGAUCCAAUUUUAUUGAUUAAAAGAAAAAAUUACCUUAGGGAUAACAGCGUAAUUUUUUUUUUUAGUUCAAAUAAAAAGAAAAGUUUGCGACCUCGAUGUUGGAUUAAGAUAAAAUUUAAAUGUAGAAGUUUAAAAUUUUGAUCUGUUCGAUCAUUAAAAUCUU
rnacentral:rRNA from 1 species